CCUGCAGGGCCGGUGGGUCUCCCGGCGGUGCGGCGGGGCAGACGUGUUACAGGGAAGGGAGGGAUUUUUGCGAAGAGGAGGGAGCGGGGAGUAGCCGGCAGCUUCACAGGACGGGACGCCGGGAACCGUCAGCCUCCUCCCGUCUUUUCUUCUUUCUGGACCUGACGGGACCUCUCGAUUGACAGUCGAGGGUUCGAACCGGCAGACAGACGCGCGGUGCGGGGACCGUAGACUAAAAGGCGGGGGAGGCCAUGAUUCCUGCGGGCGGGCCGUGGAUCUGGGCGCCUCGACCGCCACCCAGACCCACGCCCAAUCCUUCGGCGCUUCUCGAAGCUCCCGCGGCAAUUUCGGUCUUUGGGGGCUGGACCAGUUGAGAGCGCCUGCCGGAAGGGGCUGCCUCCCUGGAUGGGGGCAAAAUUUGCAUUUCUCCGCUAUCAGUUCAGGGAGAAAAGUCAGUAACUCAUCGGGAUCAAAACUGUGACAUCUGGAGUUCCCGCUGUAGCGCAGCGGGUUAAGGAUCCGGUGUGGUCUGUGCGGCGGCUCAGGUUGCUGCUGGGAUUCGAUCCCUGGCCGGGGAACUUUAUGCCAGGAGUGCCGCUGUGGGGAGGGGGGAGUGAUAUCUGAUUCCCCACCAAUUACCAGGAGGACAGUAUCCACUUUAUACUGACCAGGAAACCUAGAGUGAGGAAAGAAAAUCAGACUUUAAAUAAAUUCCAGGCAGCAGGCGUUUCCUGUCCCUCAGUUAAGAGGAUUGCCACCCUCUGUCCGCAUCCAGUAAUACACCAGGUGACAUCUGGAUCCCAAAGCGCUUUACCUCCGAAUAAUCUGUCAUCCCGAUUCAGUUUGUAGAUAGGAGCCCCCUCACUUCCAACAUCAGUACCUAAAUUGCAAGGUGGAAUCAAGACCAUGUAGACACAGAUCGAGGUAUGAGGCUUUAAAGUUCCAUGUCUUAGGUUUUCCUCAAUAGAAGGUUAUUGGGACUGACACCGGAUCCUUUACCCACUGAGCAGGGCCAGGGAUCUGCCCCGCGUCUUCACGGGUACUAGUAGGGUUCAUUACUGCUGAGCCACAACGGGAACUCCUGACGGCUAAUUCUUUCCGUCUGUCUGACACACAGUUGUCUUCGACAGGGGUAGAAACGCUUGGUGGAGGGAAGGCCUACAGACAGGCGCCCUGUCGGGGUCAACGUGCCUCACCUGGCUCAUCCUGCCGCGCGCUCUGAGGCGUAGAAAUGUUCUACCUCCGAACACUUGAAGUGUGGCUUAUGUGACCGAGGAACUGAGUUUUCAAAAAUUUUGUUUUGAUUAAUUUACACUUAAAGAGCCACUGGUAGCUAGUAUUGUCUUUGUGCUAGCCCCAGAGGCCCCCCGCCGUCUGUGGAAAAAUCAGUUUUAUUAAAAUGUCUCGGAGUUCCUGCGUGGUACAGUGUGUUAAGAAUUGGACUGUACUGGCUCGGGUCGCAGAGCAGGUUGCACGUUCAAUCCCGGGUCUGGCGCGGUGGAUUAAAGGAUCUGGGGUUGCUGCAGCUGCAGUGUGGUUCACAGCCUUGGCUCAGAUUCCGUACCUGGUCCAGGAACUUCCAUAUGCUGCGGGUGCGGUUAUAAAGUAACAAUAAUAAUACCAAUAAAAUGUUUCUUCCAUCUGAUAGUUGAUUAAGGAUUUGAAGAAAUACUGCAUAGAUAUUAUUUGUUAGAACAGGCAAUAGAACACUACAAGACAUUUAAUUUUUAUUUCCUUUUUUUUUUUAGUUUUUCUUUUUCAGUCACCCCUGUGGCAUGUGGAGGUUCCUGGGCCAGGGAUCGAGUCUGAGCUACAACUGCAGCAAUGCCAGAUCCUUAACCCCCGUGCCGGGCCAGAAAUUAAACCUGUGCCCCAGAGCUCCAGAGACGCCAGCGAUCCCAUUGUGCCACCGUGGGAACCCCAAGCACUUGCUUUUCUAAGUUUGAGUAGCGGUAAGAGUCCCCUUCCGUCCAGGAACCUUCCCGGGAAUGACAAAUAACAGCAGGUGUGUAUGUCUCAGCUUCGGGCUCUCUGGCCCCGCGGCAACAGCCUUCUUCAACCGUCACCUCCUCCCUGUGGUUCUUCUGACCAUUAGUAACCUUGGCCUAACACUGAGCGGGAGGAAGGAGACAGGAAGUGCUGUGUAAUAUUUAGUAGCUGUGCCAGCUCCUGAGGGGGAGGCCUUGGAAUCAUCUCCCAGCUCCAAGCAGCAUCAUACAGAGCACCCAUCAGGAGGAAGCAGGCUUUACCAAAAGACUCACAGGGUGCGGGUGGGGGUCGGGUCAUGUCCGAGUUCCUGUCCCUAAAGACAAGGUCUCCUUAGAGCUGAAGGUUUAGCCUGGAAAACUCUUUUCUUUUUUGUCCUCCUCAGGAAAGCACGGUUGUGCCACUUUGUAUUCUUGCAACAGUUCCACCUCGGAGAGCAAUGAAAGCUGCAGCUACAAUGUACGGAACAGGAACUCAGGACCGUACAUUGUGUUUCACAACUGUUGCUGCCUUUGGUCUCACACUUGAUUGUCUGCAGCUCAGGCUUCAGGAUGAGAAGCUUGAGUCUGGAGGUGCUGACUUUUCCCCUCAUCGCAGUGUUCCUGAGACCAUCCAAGCUGUUGCAUGUAUCAGUACAUCUUUCCUUUUCUUUCCUGAGUCAUAGUCCAUGCUCAGGAUGUACCACAGUUUGUUCAAGCAAGAGGGACAUUUUGGCUUGCUCCCAAGUUUUUGUCUGUUACAAAUAAAGUUUCUGUGAACAACUGUG